AUGACUCUUGCAGGACGCUACGAAGCCAGCCGGGUCAGCACCAGCCCGAAGCGCGUGAUCGCAGCACGUCACAGCUGGGCCGAGCGCCGAGCGUGUGCGCCACAGUCUCAGCUUCCACAGCAGCUCACCUUGAAGAAACCACCACUUACCACGCGCUGUGGAACGCCGAAAGAGACGAUGCACGAUCAUCUGAAAGGCUGGUCAACAAUCCUCUCCGUCCCAGCUCAGCGUCUGUGUGUGGCCAGGUUUUCCCUCUCAGGAUCAGCCAGAGCCACGGAUCACAGCGGUUCAAAUGCAGAGAACCCAGUGAAAGAGAAAAAGAUGUCACGUGUUUCGCAGCAAUGUGGGUGGAAGGGUUGCCCAUUCUGUCAAGCGAAACAGGAGGACACACGCUGCGUGUCUUCGCUCACCAGUGCGAGAGGAAUCCCUGCGCACACUCCGCGUGGAGAGACAGGCAGCGGGGCGAGGGGUGGGGGUGAGAAAGUACUUGUGGGUGCCGUGUACUUUACUGGGGUGGGUUCCCUUAGAAGCCCCGAUUUCAGCACCGUGCAAUGUACGCAUGGAACAAAAUUACACUGUGCCCCAUAAAUUUACAUGAAUGUAAAAUAUAUAAGGAAAAAUUUUAAAGUAAAUAGAAAUGAAACCAUAAGUAUUUUUAAAAUGUCUCUGUUCUAAUUGCUAAUAUGGUAUAUUUUGAUAGUUAAAAUGCACAAAAACAAAAGCUCUGAGGGUCUUUGAUAAUUUUUAAAGUGUAAAAAUGUCCUAAGACCAAAAUGCUGAAGACCCACAGGCUACUACAGCCUGGCACAAGCUGGGGUUUCUGCGAGGCUGCCCUGGGCCCUGACUCCAAGCUCACGGACCCCAGAGGCCACCUGGCCCGCACUGGGGACUCGCCCGGUCCAGAUUCUGCCGUGGCCUCUCAGAAGCCCAGCCCCUCUGCUGGCCCCUCUCUGUUCCUCUAAUGCUCUUCACAACUUGGCCACUUUCCACCCGCUGGCCACAGCCAGGGACAUGGGGAUGGGCCCCUCAGGAAAGGGAGCAAUGCCCCAGGAAGAACGGACGCCGAGCCCUGUGGCGGGACAGGCUCCGAGCGUUUCAUUUAAUGGGGUUGAAAAGCGAAGAACAGUGGACAUUGCCCUGAACACAGGCGGCCUGUAACACACGAGCCGGGGCCCAGGGAGGAGCUCUGACCCCAGGGACCCCACAGGAGGCAUUCAGGGCUCGCAGCAGGGACCCCGGGCCGGGCAUCAGGGAGCCCCAGCAGCCUCCCCCUCCCCCGCCCAUGGCCAUGGA
rnacentral:lncRNA from 1 species